UACCUUUAUCACCGGUUCCCUGACUGUCUCAAUUUGUGUUCUCCAGUGCCUGGGACAGUCUGCACCAGGAAUGUUAGGUUUCAUGCAGAUAGGUUUUGCAGCAUUUGAUAUUCAUUUGAUCAAGUGUCCUUAUUCUUUUGCAUCUCUCACA